UACGUAGGCAGCGAGCGUUGUUCGGAAUUACUGGGCGUAAAGCGCGUGUAGGCGGCUUUGCAAGUCGGGUGUGAAAUCCCACGGCUCAACCGUGGAAGUGCACUCGAAACUGCAAGGCUAGAGUCCUGGAGAGGAAGGUGGAAUGCUUGGUGUAGAGGUGAAAUUCGUAGAUAUCAAGCGGAACACCGGUGGCGAAGGCGGCCUUCUGGACAGUGACUGACGCUGAGACGCGAAAGCGUGGGGAGCAAACAGG
rnacentral:rRNA from 1 species